ensembl:scaRNA small Cajal body-specific RNA 14
GUGGUAGUCUUUAUGGUUCUGCACUGAGCAGUGUGCCGAUCCCGCUGCGACUCCACACAUAGUGAGGCUGGUUCCUGCCGACAGGGCCUGUAGAGCUCUUGGUUUCCCUGUGCGAUGGUUCCAUACAUU